rnacentral:rRNA from 1 species
UACGGAGGGCCCAAGCGUUAUUAGGAAUUACUGGGCGUAAAGGGCGCGCAGGCGGGUAGGUAAGUCAGUUGAUAAAGCCCGGGGCUUAAGCCGGGAAAUGCUACAGAAACUGCUUUUCUCGAGGACUGGAGAAGACAGGGGAAUUCCCGGUGUAGAGGUGAAAUACGUAGAGAUCGGGAGGAACACCAGUGAGGAAGCUGCCCGUCUGGACGGUUCCUGACGCUGAGACACGAAAGCCCGGGGAGCAAACAGG